rnacentral:misc_RNA from 1 species
GAAUUGUGAAUAUGCCCUUGAAAGCUGCUGCUAUUGUGUCCUCCACCACUGCGGAGAAACCCCAAAAGCGCUACCCAGGUGAGGCUAAGGGGUUUGUGGAGGAGAUGAGAUUUGUGGCGAUGAAGUUGCAUACCAGGGAGCAGGCUAAAGAAGGGGAGAAGGAGGUUGAGAAGCCGGAGGAGCGGGCUGUUCCCAAAUGGGAACCUUCCGUAGAGGGUUACUUGAGGUUUUUGGUGGAUAGCAAGUUGGUUUAUGAUACUCUUGAAUCCAUUGUUGAGAAGCCGGCAGAUCCUUUUUAUGCUGAGUUCAAAAACACUGGAUUGGAAAGAUCGGAAAAGCUGGCAAAAGAUUUGGAGUGGUUCAAAAAACAAGGCUAUGCCAUUCCAGAGCCUUCUUCUCCUGGUACCAAUUAUGCACAGUGUCUAAAGGAAUUAUCAGAGAAGGACCCUCAAGCUUUUAUUUGCCACUUCUACAAUAUAUAUUUUGCCCACACUGCUGGUGGUAGAAUGAUUGGGAAGAAGGUUUCUGAGAAGAUACUUAACAAAAAGGAAUUGGAGUUCUAUAAAUGGGAUGGUGACCUUUCCCAACUAUUGCAGAAUGUUAGGGACAAGUUGAAUAAAGUUGCUGAGAGCUGGACUAGAGAGGAGAAGAACUAUUGUUUGGAAGAAACUGAAAAGUCAUUCAAAUAUUCAGGGGAAAUCCUCCGUCUAAUAUUAUCAUGAUGUGCAUAGUUCCUUGAUCUCCUUGUAAUGUUGCGGAACGAUGCGUAGGCCUAAGUAUUCAUGUUUACAUUGAAAACAAGCAGUAUUCUUCAAUGAAAUGAAACUGCUGUUCUAGUACAUUAGAACUUCAUCCAACAUAUGAAUACAUUAGGAAUAUGAACUUUGAUUUGACCAAGCCAUUAUGGUAAUGUGGCC